GACGAACGCUGGCGGCGUGCUUAACACAUGCAAGUCGAACGGAAAGGCCCGGCUUUUGUGGGGUGCGCGAGUGGCGAACGGGUGAGUAACACGUGAGUAACCUGCCCUUGACUUUGGGAUAACUUCAGGAAACUGGGGCUAAUACCGGAUAGGAGCUCCUGCUGCAUGGUGGGGGUUGGAAAGUUUCGGCGGUUGGGGGUGGAAUCGCGGCUUAUCAGCUUGUUGGGGGGGUAGUGGCUUACCAAGGCUUUGAACGGUAGCAGGCCUGAGAGGGUGACAGGCCACGCUGGGACGGAGAUGCGGCCCAGCCUCCUACGCGACGCAGCGGUGCAGUAUAUUACACAAUGGGCGGAAGCCUGAUGUGGCCAAGCCGCGUCCGGUGUGUCGUCCUUCGCUUUGUAUUCUACUUUCGUCUGUGACGAAGCGUGAGUGACGGUACUGGGUAAAGAAGCACCGGCUAACUACGUG
rnacentral:rRNA from 1 species